GUUCGAUUCUGGCUCAGAUUGAACGUAGUGGAAAGAGUCACGACAUUUACAAAGCAGAGAUCGGGCGACGGCGCGGGCAGCCUUCGGUCUGGUGGCGAGUAGCGAACGGGUGAGUAAUGUAUCGGAACAUUUGCUCAUGGCAGGGGGAUAACUACGGCCUUAGCUAAUACCACAUACGCCCUUCGAAGGGGAAAGCAGGGGACCUUCGGGCCUCGCACUAUUAGAGCGACCGAUAUCGGAUUAGCUAGUUGGUGAGGUAACGGCUCACCAAGGCGACGAUCCGUAGCUGGUUUGAGAAGGACGACCAACCACACUGGGACUGAAGACUGGCCCAGACUCUGCAGGAGGCAGCAGUGAAAUUUUGGACAAUGGGGAAGCCACAGUCCAGCCAUCCGCGUGUGCGAUGAAGGCCUUCAGUUGUUGUAAAGCACUUUUGGCAGGGAAAGAAACGGCACGGGAUAAUACCCCGUGCAACUGACAAUGCCUGCAGAAUAAGCACCGGCUAACUACGUGCCCAGCAGCCGCGGUAUCUGCAGCCAAGGUGCAAGCGUUAAUCGGAAUUACUGGGCGUAAAGCGUGCGCAGGCGGUUCGGAAAGAAAGAUGUGAAAUCCAGAGCUUAACUUUGGAACUGCAUUUUAACUACCGAGCUGCUAGAGUGUGUGUCAGAGGAGGUGGAAUUCCGCGUGUAGCAGUGAAAUGCGUGAAUGCGGAGGAACACCGAUGGCGAAGGCAGCCUCCUGGGAUGCUUACUGACGCUCAUGCACGAAAGCGUGGGAGCCAAACAAGUUAGAUACCCUGGUAGUCCCGCCCUAAACGAUGUCAACUAGCUGUUGGGGCUGCUUCGGGCGCUUGGUAGCGCAGCUAACGCGUGAAGUUGACCGCCUGAAAUACAGUCGCAAGAUUAAAACUCAAAAUUGACAGGGACCCGCACAAGCGGUGGAUGAUGUGGAUUAAUUCGGGUGCGGCGUGAAAAACCUUACCUACCCUUGACAUGUCUGGAAUCCCGAAGAGAUUUGGGAGUGCUCGCAAGAGAACCGGAACACAGGUGCUGCAUGGCUGUCGUCAGCUCGUGUCGUGAGAUGUUGGGUUAAGUCCCGCAACAGGCGCAACCCUUGUCAUUAGUUGCUACGAAAGGGUACUCUAAUGCAGGACUGCCGGUGACAAACCGGAGGAAGGUGGGGAUGACGUCAAGUCCUCAUGGCCCUUAUGAGUGAACUUCACGAUCUUCUGAUGGCGAAGGUUCGGAUGAAGGGAUCAUCGAAGCUCAGGAGGGCACAAUCGCAAGAACUUCAAAAUCAAUGAUCCGGAUCUGUGAGUCACCGUCGAGCUACGUGAAGUCGAAUCUUUGGGCAUUCGGCGAAUCAACGUAUCACUGGUAUUUUUGUCUGGAUGUAGCCGCCGUUACACCAUGGGAGUGGGUUUUGCCGGAAAUGAUUUAGCCUAGCAGGGCGAUUACCACGGUAAGUUCAUGACUGGGAUGAAGUACGUAACAAGGUAACUCUGUUGCGCUGGUUCGUGCGG
rnacentral:rRNA from 1 species